ACCCGCUGGAAUUUAAGCAUAUCAAUAAGCGGAGGAAAAGAAACCAACAGGGAUUACCUCAGUAACGGCGAGUGAAGCGGUAACAGCUCAAAUUUGAAAUCUGGCUCCUUUGGGGCCCGAGUUGUAAUUUGUAGAAGAUGCUUUGGGUGUGGGCCUGGCCUAAGUUCCUUGGAACAGGACGUCGUAGAGGGUGAGAAUCCCGUAUGCGGCUGGCGCCCGCGCCCAUGUAAAGCUCUUUCGACGAGUCGAGUUGUUUGGGAAUGCAGCUCUAAAUGGGUGGUAAAUUUCAUCUAAAGCUAAAUACUGGCCAGAGACCGAUAGCGCACAAGUAGAGUGAUCGAAAGAUGAAAAGCACUUUGGAAAGAGAGUUAAACAGUACGUGAAAUUGUUGAAAGGGAAGCGCUGGCAACCAGACUUGGGCGCUGUUGAUCCGUUAGGGUUCUCCCUGGGGUACUCAGCAGUGCGCAGGCCAGCAUCGGUUUGGGGGGUUGGAGAAAGGCUGGUGGAAUGUGGCUGCCUUCGGGCAGUGUUAUAGCCACCGGUGGCAUGCAGCCUCCCCGGACCGAGGACCGCGCUUCGGCUAGGAUGCUGGCGUAAUGGUUGUCAGCGACCCGUCUUGAAAGACGGACCAAGGA
rnacentral:rRNA from 2 species